GAUGAACGCUAGCGAUAGGCCUAACACAUGCAAGUCGAGGGGCAGCACAAGGUAGCUUGCUAUCUGGGUGGCGACCGGCGCACGGGUGCGUAACGCGUAUGCAACUUGCCCUAUACAGGAGGAUAACCCGUCGAAAGACGGACUAAUACUGCGUAUGCUCACAACUUGGCAUCAAGUGGUGAGGAAAGAAAUUCGGUAUAGGAUAGGCAUGCGUCCCAUUAGCUUGUUGGUGAGGUAACGGCUCACCAAGGCAACGAUGGGUAGGGGAACUGAGAGGUUUAUCCCCCACACUGGUACUGAGACACGGACCAGACUCCUACGGGAGGCAGCAGUGAGGAAUAUUGGUCAAUGGGCGCGAGCCUGAACCAGCCAAGUCGCGUGAAGGAUGACUGUCUUAUGGAUUGUAAACUUCUUUUAUACGGGAAUAACAAGAGUCACGUGUGACUCCCUGCAUGUACCGUAUGAAUAAGCAUCGGCUAACUCCGUG
rnacentral:rRNA from 1 species